CAAAGACAGAUGGCUGGCACAGACCUUUCAUAAACACUGAUAAGGAAAGGCCUUGAUCAAAAGAGUGCUUGGGUCCGCAUUUCACGAGAUAAUAAGACACACACACACAUACCCAAGGACGGAGGGCUGACUACGCACACACAAAAUCUCCUGUUUAGCUGAACAUUUGAUAACAAAGAACUUUUGCUAUAAGACUCAGAAGGAUGACGCCCAGCUCAUCAGGACCAAUCUGAGAAGACAACAACCUGUCCAGAACCAACCAAAGGACCAGAACUUCCAGACUCAACCUACUUUCUGUAUUGUAUAAAAUGUCUAUGCAUUCUGUUAUCUGAGCUUUUUCUGGAGGUUCACUAUGAGCCGAAGGAACGAGACCGUAUACGCUUGUACCAGAUAUCUUUACUCAUAAUUAAACUGUCGCUUGUCAUACAAUUUAUCACCUUGUCUGAAUCGAUCCUUGACCGGCUCGCCCUUCUCCAUAUCCAAUUAUCAACAGAAUGGUAGCAGAGGAUGGUUGCCUAGCUACCCGGUCCAGAGUGGUUGAUAUGGAUGUGAGGGGGCGAGUUGGUGAAAGGACGGUUCACGGAGGACAGGUGAAAUCUUUUGGGGGGGAGGACGACAGUUCUGCUCAAACUCGGGAAACUGAUCUUCUGGUCGACCAUAAAGGUAAGCAAGACCUGUUAAAUCAAACUUUGUAUAUUGUCGUAUAGUUCUUCCAAAUUUCGAUCAGUGGUACCGAGUCUGGGUAAGAAUUAUUGUUUAAAUUUAUGUGUAUAGAUGACAUGUGAAGGACAGUGAAGUAAACAUAUGUGGCCAUAAUUCUGUUACGAUAGUCCGGCGGCGACCGGUCCGGCUGAGUCCGGUAAGGGAUAAAAUUGUGUUAGGGUUCCGAUAGUCCGGCGGCGACCGGUCCGGCUGAGUCCGGUAAGGAACGAUAUUCCGAUAGUCCGGCGGCGACCGGUCCGGCAGAGUCCGGUAAGGAAAAGUUAAAGUUAAAAGAAAUAGACUUAUCCGAUAGUCCGGAGGCGACCGGUCCGGCAGAGACCGGUAAGGAAGUCUUAGUACUAAGUCCGGCGGCGACCGGUCCGAUUAGAUUCGGUAGGGAAAUCUAUUCUGAUAGUCCGGCGGUGACCGGUCCGGCAGAGUCCGGUAAGGAAUAGAAUACUGUGUAUUGUUUAAUGACAAACGCUCCAUGUACCAAUAGGGUCGGAUGUGUAAAUGUCAACUGAUUAAUGUGUAUUGUUUAAUGACAAACGCUCCAUGUACCAAUAGGGUCGGAUGUGUAAAUGUCAACUGUUUAAUGGAUGUUGUUUAAUGAUGAACAUUGCUAGUUAAAAAUAGGAUUCCGAUAGUCUUAAAGUGUAUAAGCCUCAUCCAAAAGCCCGAAUAUUCGUUCGGUGAAGGAUGUAGUUAAAGUGAACAGUGGUAAAUGAUAAAGUGGUAACUAUUCUAAGUCCGGCUGAGACCGGUCCGACUGAGAUCGGUAAGGAAUAGGUUCAGAGUGUUUGAGAGAUCUCUAAUGUAAUGUGUAAGUGUUGAAAGUAUACUGAUUAAUGUGAAGUUGACAUACAUAUUUGAUAAGAAUUCUUAUAUUGGGGAUUGUUAAUUCCAUUCAGUAAUAAAUACUAUAGUUGAGGAGUUUUUUAAUUAAAGAGAGCAACAGUGUGAAUGUAUAUGUAAACGCAUAUCCUGAUUUGAACUAUACUAAUCUAUUUGAUAAAAUUACUGAACCUGUAUAUUCAACAUUUGAUAAUGAUUGUCAAAUCCGUCUAUUUAACCACAACGUUGAAUUUAGCGUUGGGUAUUAUAGGAGGAACGGGAUACAAUUUUUACUUUCCCCACCGGGUGUGGCCGUGGUUUUUGGUUAGGUAACACCAGGGAAUUCGAACAAAAAGUAAACGUAUUCUAAACAUUAUCUGUUUUCAUUAUGGGGAACAAUGAACGGCAGCAAACUGGUAUGGCUGGCCGGGAGUUAAAGUACACGUUUAUCACAGUUGUGUGAGUGUAAUGGCAGGGUAUAAAGUAUUUUGGGGAGACAAUUUGGAGAAGGACUGAAUGAGUUACAUGAAAAGUCACUAGAGGGCGCCAUUGGUCAACUUAUGGAGGUUCAUGUUAUUGGGAAAAGGCACACAGUUACAUGAAACAUAGAGGAUAUUCGUUUUUGUUUUAGUAGUACACGUUUGGUUUAAGGGGAUCAAGAUAUCUUAAAGGGGUACCCUCAUAUAUUUAGAAUAUUAGGAGUUUUAUUUUCUGAUGUUAUUGUUAAAUAAAAUAUAGUGUACUCUUGGGGGAGAGAACUUAUUAGUAAAUAAAGUAUUAAAAUUGACAGGGGUAUAUGACAUGCUAGGAUGCAGAUAGUUUGAUUCUAAAGUUAGAAAUUGCCACCAUAGACAUGUUUUUCUAAAAAUCCAUGAGUUUAGAUAAAGCCAAACAGUGAGACAUUUAGUUAAAAUUUGGAAACACAGUUGUUACAGACAGAUAAGGAAAAGGGCAGACAGAGGAGCCCUCCCCGCACUGCUGAGACCUUGAAGGUUUGAGAGCAGAGAAUGGAGUUUUGGAAGGGCCGCCAGGACAGAGAUAACAGAAUGGGUAGAUAACAGUUACUGAAUGGAGACAAAAGGGAGAAUUGGACAUGUGGAAAAUAAAAGGGGCGCUCCUACAUAAUAAUGUAGAACAUGAGAAUAUUUUACUAAGUCAUUAUUUAGAAUAGGUAAGGUUGAUACCUGGGCAGAGCCAGGUAUCAAACGGGGGAGGGGUACAUUGUGGUCUAGGAUAGGAUGGGGCCUAUUGGAUAAUAAACUAAUUUAAAAUUAAAAAUUCUAGCUAAAAAAUAGACAUAGAAAUUAAAUAUAUAAUCGGAUAGAACAAAUGACAAACUGUUUGUUAACCAAACCUGUAUGUCCAAGAUUUUAUGCAUUGCAGGUGAAUUAAAGGAGAAGGUGAUUCACCCGACCUGGGGGCAUAUCGCACUUGGAGGGUGAGACACACUGACACUGCCGAAUGAUCACAGAGUUAAGGAGAAGAACCGUUACUAAUAGAGUUCGGGGAUCAACUCCUUAAUGAAGAAUUUCCUUUUCCCGUCAUUCCAUCCCUGUGUUUGUUCAUAGAAGUGAAAGUGUGUCUGGCUUCUUGCUGAUGAUGUUUUCUCUGGGAGAGGGUGGGGCUUUACAGGAUUGCUUGUAGUCCUGAGCUGUCUGAUUAGGAUACGAUGGGGAUGUUACCAUCACAGUACUGCCAGAACCACCACCAGUUCCAACAGACCAGGUUCAGCCGGCCUCCUCCACCACUUCAAGACCAAGUCCCACACCAUCACCUAAACUCUACAAUCUGGUAUAGGUAAUAAAUGUAAAAGACAUCUCAGAUAGUGACCAAUUGGGGACUGAAACUGGUUAUGAGGGAAGGGAGAAUAUGUGGUUGACCUACAAAACACUUAAUAAAAAGGACUGUGUCGUAUGUGGACAUGCCAGACCUAUUCUGGCUGCUCACCCAUUUGCCCUAAGUAAGGGCGAAGGUUGGAUGUGCAUAUUGGAAAGUUUAAGUCAAAUUCAACCCUGUGUAAAACUCUGAGUCUUGUGUUCCCAGAAGUCCGUCCCCAGAAGACACCAUGGGGGUUAAGGCAUAUGGGGGAUAUUACAGCUGUAACACUGGUACAGGUAGAGGUAUGGACUAUGGGAGGUUCCCUACUGCUGCCUGCAUCACCAAUGUCACUAUUAACUAGAGGUGUUGCUGAUGUAUGGUGGAUGUGUGGACCUGCCAGGCGGUUGACCCCAUUUUGAAAGGAGAUUAUCAGGGAACAUGUGUUUUGGCCAGUCUGAUAAACACCAUUGCCUAUUAUUGAGGUUACAGCUAACCAACUUUUGGGAGCUGCACAUGACAGAGGCUUGGGACCAACCCAGGAGACGGCAGAAACGUGACGCUCCUUGGUCCGAGAGUACAGAUAACAUCCACACCAACCUGUUGGGGGUCCCAAUAGGGGUCCCCCACGAAUUCCAGACAUUAAACAGGAAUGAUGGCCUGUGGCAUCUGAUGCCCAUCAUUGGCCCAGCUAUUGUUGAUGCUAAGCAUAAUGCCUGGAUCAAUUAUAUCUACUAUAAUUAAUGAUGAUUUGUUAAAUACACCCACACAGCACUUACGGGGGUGGCUGAACAAUUGGAUGCCACCUCGUAGACCAAAUAGACUAGCACUGGACAUGAUUCUGGCCGACCAGGGAGGUGUAUGUAAAAUGUUUGGAGAACAGUGUUAGACGUUUGUCCCUAACAAUACUAGUCUGGAUGGGAGCAUUUCAAAAGCUCUGAGUGGGUUGGCAAGGUUAUCGGUGGAGAUGGGGGGUCUUGCAGGUGUGGAGGAGAGUGGACUGUUCCCUUGGCUGGGUGGUUGGUUUGGUAAGUACACUACAGUGAUGAUUACUGGAUUUCUGACCCUAAGUUGUUGUUUUUAAUAUGCUCAUGUUCCGUAAUGCCUGUAUCAUACCUUGUUUGAAGAAGUCUGUUACAGAUGUGGAAAGGGCCUAUGGUAUGAUGCCGCUGCUUGAUGUUCCAGUUGGAGAGGCUGAUACGAAAUCAAGCUUUCGCAGGAGAGUGGGCCUGACAGAGGGGGACCCUUGGUUCGCUGUAGUUGAUGUUGUCGAAUGAAUAAAAAGUGAUGUUUGUCCUC